CAGUGCACACAAAGAUGUCCACAGAAGGUAGCCUUUCUCCGUGCCUUGUUCAAAUGACAAAUUAACCGUGUUAGUGCUGAGCAUGACAAAUAUAUGUUUGAAUGAUGAAGUAUAUGAAGUUAUGAACACAGGUUCUCGGUUAACUGGUUUUUAAAUUCAGUUUUGCUACCCAGGAGAUGCAAAUUGCUCUCUGGUUUGCCAUGAUGGGAGUGGGACGGUGUACCCUAUCAGCUGAUGAGUCCCGGAGGUUGGACCAAACCAGCCAACCGUACUGAAAUUUAAAUUCUGCAGCGUGUUCAGCGCUGAUUUCGACCUGGUGGGUGGUAUGCGUCAUUCAGUCGUAAAUGCAUUUGCUCUAAUGUACUAGGACUUUUUGUAUACAUCAUGCUUAAUAGACAUCACCGUCAGCUUCCAUCAUUUUCACAAGAUUAAUGUACUGUCAAAAGCAGUCUUUGCCUCUCUAACAAAGACACGUAUAAAUCUGAAACUUGGAAAUAACCAAAGUUUUUUUUUUCUUUUGCGGGAAAAUAAC
rnacentral:lncRNA from 1 species